rnacentral:tRNA from 1 species
AAAAUCCGUCGAUUUUAUAAAUCAUGAGGGUUCAAGUCCCUCUAUCCCC